GCCCAGGUAGCUCAGUUGGUAGAGCACUCCCUUGGUAAGGGAGAGGUCGGCGGUUCAAAUCCGCUCCUGGGCUCCA
rnacentral:tRNA from 1 species